GAUGAACGCUAGCGGGAGGCCUAACACAUGCAAGCCGAGCGGUAUUGUUUCUUCGGAAAUGAGAGAGCGGCGUACGGGUGCGUAACACGUGUGCAACCUGCCUUUAUCUGUGGGAUAGCCUUUCGAAAGGAAGAUUAAUACUCCAUAAUAUAUUUAACGGCAUCGUUUAAUAUUGAAAGCUCCGGCGGAUAGAGAUGGGCACGCGCAAGAUUAGCUAGUUGGUGAGGUAACGGCUCACCAAGGCGAUGAUCUUUAGGGGGCCUGAGAGGGUGAUCCCCCACACUGGUACUGGGACACGGACCCGACUCCUACGGGAGGCAGCAGUGAGGACUAUUGGUCAAUGGGUGCAAGCCUGCACCAGCCAUCCCGCGUGAAGGACGACUGCCCUAUGGGUUGUAAACUUCUUUUGUAUAGGGAUAAACCUACCCUCGAGAGGGUAGCUGAAGGUACUAUACGAAUAAGCACCGGCUACCUCCGU
rnacentral:rRNA from 1 species